UACGUAGGGAGCAAGCGUUGUCCGGAAUCAUUGGGCGUAAAGCGCGCGUAGGUGGCCCCAUAAGCCCGCUGUGAAAGUCAAAGGCUCAACCUUUGAAAGCCGGUGGAUACUGUGGGACUAGAGUACGGAAGAGGCGAGUGGAAUUCCUGGUGUAGCGGUGGAAUGCGCAGAUAUCAGGAGGAACACCAAUAGCGAAGGCAGCUCGCUGGGACGUUACUGACACUGAGGCGCGAAAGCGUGGGGAGCGAACAGG
rnacentral:rRNA from 1 species